GUCUACAGCCAUGCCACCCUGAACAAGCCUGAUUUCGUCUGAUCUCAGAAGCUAAGCAGGGUCGGGCCUGGUUAGUAUUUGGAUGGGAGACCACCUAGGAAGACCAGGUACUGUAGGUG
rnacentral:rRNA from 1 species